rnacentral:rRNA from 1 species
GAUGAACGCUGGCGGCGUGCCUAAUACAUGCAAGUCGAGCGAACAGACGAGGAGCUUGCUCCUCUGACGUUAGCGGCGGACGGGUGAGUAACACGUGGAUAACCUACCUACAAGACUGGGAUAACUUCGGGAAACCGGAGCUAAUACCGGAUAAUAUAUUGAACCGCAUGGUUCAAUAGUGAAAGACGGUUUUGCUGUCACUUAUAGAUGGAUCCGCGCCGCAUUAGCUAGUUGGUAAGGUAACGGCUUACCAAGGCAACGAUGCGUAGCCGACCUGAGAGGGUGAUCGGCCACACUGGAACUGAGACACGGUCCAGACGCCUACGGGAGGCAGCAGUAGGGAAUCUUCCGCAAUGGGCGAAAGCCUGACGGAGCAACGCCGCGUGAGUGAUGAAGGUCUUCGGAUCGUAAAACUCUGUUAUUAGGGAAGAACAAAUGUGUAAGUAACUAUGCACGUCUUGACGGUACCUAAUCAGAAAGCCACGGCUAACUACGUG